GGUUUCCACCAGUGCUGGCCGGUCAGUAAGCUUACGCACAGUAUAGCGCCGGGCUGUUAGCACUAUGUAACGCUGGAGCUAGCGUCAGUCAUGAAGAGGUGCAGGUGCUGGCGCGGGGCGGAUCUUUCACGGAGGGAAGCGUGUUCGAGGCGGCCGCUGCCGUCAUGGCGCUGAGCUGUGCGGCUAGGAGCGCCGACAGGGAUGCCGACAGAGCUCGCUUCCUGAUCCGCCGCCCCGCAAAGUUCCUCUGUAACUCACAGCAGAUGGACGGAGGAUUCGGCGACGCGCGCGCCACCGCUGCAGCAAUGCAGGCGUUGGCAAGCUGCUGGUGAUGACGCAUCCACACACUUGGAACUGUUCAUCAGCAUACUUCAGACUCCUCGGCCACCAGGGGGAUGACGGGUCGUUCGGCAGCCUGGCGACGACGCUGGCUGCACUCCGGCCCUACACGGAAGCAGUCUCGUUAGAGACGCAGCGAGCCUGCUGACAGACUCCGC